ensembl:lncRNA
GUCAUUUGAAAUUUGGGUGGCAGGUUUCCUGAGCCCUUCUCAACUCUGUGUAUUCACAGUCUUUCCAAGCCAUUAGAGAUGCAUUUCCAGAGCCAAUUGUAUGAUUGAUUAUUUAUAAUUAGGAGAACUAGAAGAUAAGUGAGGUGAAAAUGAAGAGUUGAAAGGGAACCUGGACUAUGUUCUAACCUGCAUCCUGAUUUUUUUUUGGUUGGACUGCUGCUGGGGAACGGGGUCACUGCCUUGGACCUUGUAGUUUGCCUCUGCAUACAGCACGAGCCAUGGUCAGAAAUCGCAGCAGUUAGAGCAAAGGAGCCCCAGCCUGGUGCUCAGCUACCUGAGCCAGCCAGCUGACUAUGGACUGAAACACAGCCACAAUAAACCUCUCCUUCCUUAGCUUGUGGGUGUUGGGUAUCUUGUGCCAUCACAGAGUAAAGUGGCCAAGACAUCAACACUGUCCAUCGGCCCUCUUCUGAACACUGAGAUGUCUUAGCUGAUAAGAGCUGAGGUCCCUGCAUGCACAGUACUUACCUUUUAACUGGGAGAGACUAUAGGAAGAGAACUACCACUCAUUGAGCCCCGUUUAUGCACUGUGUAUCCUUGCAGACAUCUCCUCUGUGUUCAGGGAAGACUUCUCUGCCCCCUUCCACUAUCAUUGAGGACAGAUGCUAGAUCAGGAGCCAUUGCUGGGCCUGAGGUCUUCCAGAACAUGUGACCUGAGCUCAAAUGUAACAAUCAGGAAAACUUCACUACCUCCACCAGAAUUGCCACCCAGCCACGAUGCAGCUGAAGCGCACUACAGAAAAACUCCUGCCUGCACAAACCUGUUGUACAAACCUGUUUGCCCACAACAGCAGGAGAAGCUACAAGAAAAAUAAUGCCUCCUCAUUUCCAACUUCCAAAUCUCCCACAAUGCUUCUCAUUGGAGCAUUGAUUUGUAAAUCAAACCCUGGCAGGGAGAAAGCCAGAAAAAUUUAUUUUUUAGCUUUCUAGCCUCUGCACCCUGGAAGGGAAACAAUAGAUGAUGAGUGGCAAUUUCUUGUAUCCACAUGGUUUCCCUUCUUAGCCACCUGUAGUGUCCAUGGUUUGGUAGAGCAGUGUGGGAACCUAGAAAUGCAGCCCUCAGGUUAGAAGCUUUGGUUAACUUGGGUGUAGCCACCCUGGUCAGCCAUGAAGGCUGCACCAGCAGUGUCCUGGCCAAGGAGCUUCUUAGGUCUAUGUAAAGCUUCUGCCCUCAGAGAGAAGAACCGAGGAUUUAGGUUAUACCAUGAGAGUCCUUGGAAGAUCACAGUGGGAUUGUGGGUCACAUGCUUGCCUGAUGACCUUGCUAAGCAUUUAGCCAAGCUUGAAGUUGUCUGUGCACAGUGGGACCAAGGAGUUUGAGAACACAGGUCUGAUAAGUAGGAGCUGUCACCAACCACCAGCUUUGAGAGAAACUGACAUGGGCUGGGGCUGGGGAUUCCCUGGCUUUUCCUCUACAUCAUAGUUCACCUCCAUGGGGAGUUCCUUUGUAUUAUUAUUGUAGCAGUGGUAUUGGUCUUUUUGAGACAGGAUCUUGCUAUGUAGUUCUCACUGUGUAACAGCCUGGGCUGGCUUUGCGCUUGCAGCAAUCCUCCUGCUUCAGCCUCCCAAGUGCUGGGAUUGAUUAUAGGCCCAGCUAGUGGAUUUGCAGAGUUGACUAGACAAGAGACUUAGAUUAGCCAGUCCAGUAUGGAGGUCACAUCUUAGUCUUCAAAAGUUUCUGCAGAGGCACUCAAGAGUGUUUCAUGCCAGGUGAGGACUGACUCCUCUCCCUGAGUCCUCGCUGAAACCCUGAAGUCUCUUAAUUGGGCUCCUGUUCAGCACAGACACAUCUCAGGUACAUGGUUGCCACCAACCCAGUGUCCUCCCAGUUCUUGAGUAAGGAUGAGUGGCAGGAAGUCUCUGGCCACAGAUUCCCUCAUCUGCAACAUGAAGAUUAAGGCUCACCAUAUCCCCAGGAGGCUGGGAGAUUUCACGAGAGCCUACAGGAAAGCACUCAGCUUAUUUCCCAGUGUGGAUUUAGGGUUACGUGAGAGGAAGCCUUGGGCCUUAGGAGGAGGGAGUGGUGGAGCCUCCCGUGGGCCUCCAAGUGCGCUGCCUCAGGCUGCACCUGCACUAUUCUGUCUGUCUCUUUUGAGGAAUCGAAGCAUCUUAACAAAGGUAUGAACAGUGAUCGGUGCCCAUGCCAGCAGGAAGAGAUCAAGUCAUCUUUGUAUAACUUGUUCUAGAAGGGAGGAAAAACUGAGUACAGUGGUACAUGCCUUUAAUCCCACCCACUUGGGAGGCUGAGGCAGGAGAAUCACCAGUUUGAGGCCAGCCUGGACAACUUAGCAGGGUCUGAGAGACAGAGAGAGAGAGAGAGAGAGAGAUCAUAGAAGCAGGAAAGACUUCUAUAUGAAAUAGUUAAAAUAAAGAAAGUGGUAUUUACAGGAAUGCCUUAGUUGAUUGGGAAAUUUCCUCAUACAAAAGAACCUUUUUUUGUGACAAUAGCUGAUACUGUCCUUUUCCUUUCUAGUUUUUAGUCCAAGAUGAUUCCCUCGGAACUGUUAAGUAGAGGCUGCAUGAUUCCAUGCAAACUCUCGAGACUAGGAAUAAGAAAAUCUGGUUUCUAUAUCUGCCCCCGUACAGUUGUUGACUGAAUAACUGUUACAUAACUGUUAAUGUCUAGAAACAUCGGUUUCUUCAUCUGCAGGAUGGAGAUAAUACUGAGCAGUGUGCCUGUUUCCCAGAACCCUGGUGAGGGUUGGUGGCAGUUACAGCCAGUGCUCUGGAGUCAGCCUGCUCUGAGGCUUCCUGGUCUGUUCCUCCCACAGCCGCCCCCUUCUUCAGACCUGACUUCGCCCACGUUCCCUGCCACAGGCCUUACUGGGAGGUAGAGCGAGCCACAUACGUUUGUAUGGAUUUUCCUGGCUUCAUAUGACAUCCCUUCGAACUAAGCAGGAAACUGAAUUAUAGUGAGAAUAGUGCAGUUGCAUGUCAACUUGGGCCCAAAACAAACAAAUAAACAAACAAACACUUUACAAACUGAGUGGUUUAAAAUAACAGAAAUUUAUUUUCUUACAAUUCCAAAGGCUUGAAGCCUGGAAUAAAAGCUUCAGCAGAGCUGGGACCCUGCUGAAGUCUCCGGGGAGAACCCUCCUUUGCCUCUUCCUAGCUCCUGGUGGCUCCAGCCUCCUCGCUGUCCUUGGCUGGGAGCUGCAUGGAGCAAUCUCAGCUGUGUCUUUGCAUGGCUUCGACCCUCUGUUUUCUCAUUGCCAACGCUGGACUCAGGACACAUCUUAACUUAUGACAUAUGCAAGACUAUUCCACAUAAGGUCCCACAGUGAGGUUCUGGCUGGACAUGGAUUUGGAAGGGAUAAGACAAUCCCAAGAUCCAGUAUCCUCUUGUCUGAGGAACAGUGUCUCUGACCAUUUCCGCUUCCCAUCCCCACCCUCUAGCGAAAACCUGUUGUCCCCGUACUGGCUCUCAAUUCAUCACCCACCUGGACACCUCACAAACCUGGGGUCCCCCUGGUCCCAUCGCUUGACUUCAUCAUUGCCACCACACAGUCAUCAAGGCUCUGGACAUCCUUGCUCCUAAACAUUUACUAAAUUUCUCCCUGUCUCUUGAACCCCACAGCCAGGUUCCAGCACUGCUCCCUUAGACACCAUAACAGCCUGCUAGUUAGGCUUCCAGGUCUUGUUCCCCAGUUCCGCAUCUCCAUACUGCUGCCAGGGAGUCUUUACCGAUGAAACCUAUUCAGCACACCCUUGCUGUUGACCCUCCAGAACUCAAUCUGACCUCUCAGCCAACUUCUGCCCAUGUCCUCUCUCACAUCCUCACGUGGAGGCUGCGCUGUAGUCACCUGCAAGCCCUUGAGGUUUCCUGAGCUUAUAGACUCUGCUUCAUCUCCAUGCGAUCGAACGUACAUACUGUGGUAAAAGACACAGUGAAUGUUUCAGUUUAAAACCAAUUAUUACAGUAAAAGACACAUUGCCUUGAAUCCCCCUCAAAAUACUCACCAUCGCUUCAAACACACUUUUCCCAUUGUUCUUGCCACUUGCUGAAGCAGUUCUAGAAUUUCUCUUUGUCUUUAGUCAUGCUGUCCUAACUGCCAUGAUACCCUGAAUCAAUUGAAAAUGUUUACCAUUCAUGGUCAUUUUGACUUUGGGGACAACCCAGAAGCCAUACAGUGCCAAAUCAAGUAAAUAAGGUAGAUGAGGACACAGUGUGAUGUUUUAAUGAUCCCGCCAUUCUGUUGGAUGGCACUCAGUAGUAUUCACUGUAUCUCUCCCCCCCGCCCCCACCGCCCCGGUACUGGGGAUCAAACUCAGGACCCUGCGCUUUCGAGGCAGGCAGCGGCACCACUGAGCUAAAUCCUUGGCCCUCACUGUAUCUUUUAUCCUUCUCAUAAAGACAGGAAAGAGGACUUCCAGAGCUGCUUCAGAAAAUGGCAAGGACAUGAGUAAAGUGUGUUCCAAGGAAAAGGGAACAUUUUGAUGGGGAUUAUUAGCAAUGUCUUUUACUGUAAUGAAUUUUUAAGAGUUUAAACAUCCCCCAUAUAUUUUGAUUCCCCAUUGUAUUGCUUACACCCUGGCUCAGCAUGCUCCACUAGCUUGCCUGGCUCCUAUCUGCCCUCCUUGCACACUUGUCUCAAGCCCUGCUCUCACUGUCUGAUGAGCCCCGAGCUGGGUUGGAUGAACCCUUCGUCAGUACACAUUUGACCCCCUCAGAUGCGCAUGCAGAGGUAUAAUCCUUGAUUUUCUCAUGUAUCUCCUACGUAUAAUCCUUGAUUUUCUCGUGUAUCUCCUACACUAUGUUCCUCGACAGUGUCUGUCUUUCAACCCCGCAGUCUGAAUAUCUACAUCCUGGAUAUCAAACACAAUACCUGUUGAUUAAAUGCUUGUGUAGUGAGUGAAAUGAGGUCUUCCCAACUGAGUUUAUACCUAGUAACUGGCCAAAUCAGGAUCAAUAAUUGGCUCAUUCUAAUGCUAUAUGUUGCUAUUUAAGCUUUUGAAUUCCUACAUUUGAACAUUCAGUAUGUCAUUCUCCGGGAUACACUGUGGUCAUAUCAUCCUUUGUUUGAUGGUGAUUAUGUAUGGAGUCACAGUGCAAGGGCAUGGCUCAGCUGAAGAAUAUGUAUCCACUCUAACGUACACACAUAUGUAUGCACAGUAUAUACAUACACAUGUGUGUUUCUGUACUUAUAUAUACACAUAAAAUACUCUUUUUGUAAUACUGAAGAUUGAAACCAGGGUGCUUUACCACAGAACCAUACCCCCAUCUCUUUUUAAAAAUGGUAUUUUAUUUUGAGACUGCAUCUCUCUAAGUUGCCCAGGCUGGCCUCAAACUUGAGAUCCUCCUUCGUCGGUGGUGGUCUCCUACAUAGCUGGAAUUACAGACAUGUGCAACUCUGCCUGGCUCAUAUUUUCUACUUAUAGCUAUAUUUCCUAACUCAGGAGAAAAUCUUUGGGGCCAGUCAACUUUUCUGAGGGGUGGAAGUCUGAGCCCAGAGCAUUUUAACAACAGAAGACAUCUAGGAAGUAGAGGGGUUUCCAAGAACAUGUCAGUGCAUUCAGGAAUUGCCUUAAAAUUCCAGAUCUGGUUCUUGGGGGGCACCUUGCUGAUGUUCCAGCCAUGUUUGCAAGCUCAGUCACUUUCUUUCUGGAGGUCUGGAUGGAGGAGGAGGGGCACCUGGCUACUAAGCACUGCAGGAUGAGGUUUGGAGCAGCAGCUCUGUACCAAGGGUUCCUAUGCAGAAUUGCUCUGUGCAUUAGAUGCAUGUGUGCUUUCAUCGGCCGACUGGGUCUGUGUGGAGUUCCUCUGCACCUCAGUUACCAUUCUGUCCUGUGGAUCGAGGGAAACAAGAGUGACUAGCUCCCAAGGGAACUGCAUUUCAUCCUUAGUUCUGCAUGGGCACUUGUAUAAUGCUAAGCUCUUUCCUGGUCAGCUCAGAGCUUUUUUUUUUUUUUUUAAUCUUUAGACCCAGUUAAAAAAUGCUUGGGCCGGGGACUUAGCUCAGUGGCACCAUGCCUGCCUGGCAAGCACACGGUCCUGAGUUCGAUCCCCAGUACCAAAACAAAAAUGCUUAUUUAAAAGUGAUAAUUAAAAAUAAUGAUUCUGGCCUAUAUCCUAGCAAUCUGGGAGGCUGAGGCAGGAAGACUACAAGUUUGAACCCAGCCUGGGCAAUUUAACAACCGAGUGAGAUGUCUCAAAAUAAAAAUAGAUAAAUAAAUACAAAGGACUGGGGAAGUAGAUCAGAGUGAGGCCCUGAGUUCAAUCCUAGGACCACAAAAGAAGAAAAAAAGUCAUGAUUCCUGUGGUAAGGAUGCUUGUUCUCAUGUUACAAGUGGCAGUAAUUCCUGUUUGCUCUGUUUUUGUCAUUUAACACAUAUGGUCAUAUUAGCCAACAAUUUCUGACCUUGUAGCCCUUAAAAAGUGAUGUAUUUCUACAUUGAUGGCAUGGAAAGAUGUUCCAGAUACAGUAGUAAGAGUAAAAAGAAAGUUUCAGGAUUUAUAUAUAGUCUAAAACCAAGCUUAUUUUUGAAGCCCUGAUGAAAUGUUUCUUGAACUGGAGGUAUUAGCAGCUCCUGGAACCUGUCAGAAAUGCAGAUUCUUAGACCUUGCCUAGAACCACUGAACCAGAAGUUCUGGGUGUGGAUUAUCAAUUGCUAACCUGACUUCCAGAUAGUUCUGAUAGAUGCUCAAGUUGGAGAACCUGCUGUGGCAUGUGUUAGGUCCUGCUAGAGUUUGCUCUGUGUGCAGGAUUGUCAGUCUGAUGAGGAGGUCCAGCUCAUUUAUAAUUGGCAGGCAGCCCCAGUAAAUGAACUGCUUAUGUUUUGUAAUGGAUUUCGAUGCCAUUGUUUCUGGUUCUUUGUAUUCGUGUAUUCCUUUAUAAAAUCUGUAGAAUAAAAAGCUGACAAAUGAC